CUACGGCCAUACCACCCUGAACGUGCCUGAUCUCGUCUGAUCCCGGAAGCUAAGCAGGAUCGGGCCUGGUUAGUACUUGGAUGGGAUAAUGGGACUUCUUUUCUCAUAGAUAUCACUUUGGAAAAUGUUGCUGUAG
rnacentral:rRNA from 1 species